rnacentral:rRNA from 1 species
UACGUAGGGUGCAAGCGUUGUCCGGAAUUAUUGGGCGUAAAGAGCUCGUAGGCGGCUUGUCACGUCGACUGUGAAAAUCCAGGGCUCAACCCUGGACCUGCAUUCGAUACGGGCAGACUAGAGUUCGGCAGGGGAGACUGGAAUUCCUGGUGUAGCGGUGAAAUGCGCAGAUAUCAGGAGGAACACCGGUGGCGAAGGCGGGUCUCUGGGCCGAUACUGACGCUGAGGAGCGAAAGCGUGGGGAGCGAACAGG